rnacentral:rRNA from 1 species
GAUGAACGCUGGCGGCGUGCCUAAUACAUGCAAGUCGAGCGAACAGACGAGGAGCUUGCUCCUCUGACGUUAGCGGCGGACGGGUGAGUAACACGUGGAUAACCUACCUAUAAGACUGGGAUAACUUCGGGAAACCGGAGCUAAUAUCGGAUAAUAUAUUGAACCGCAUGGUUCAAUAGUGAAAGACGGUUUUGCUGUCACUUAUAGAUGGAUCCGCGCCGCAUUAGCUAGUUGGUAAGGUAACGGCUUACCAAGGCAACGAUGCGUAGCCGACCUGAGAGGGUGAUCGGGCACCCUGGGACCUGGGCAACGGCCCAACCUCCUAGGGGAGGCAGCAGUAGGGAAUCUUCCGAAAUGGCGAAAGCCUGACGGAGCAACGCCGCGUGAGUGAUGAAGGUCUUCGGAUCGUAAAACUCUGUUAUUAGGGAAGAACAAAUGUGUAAGUAACUAUGCACGUCUUGACGGUACCUAAUCAGAAAGCCACGGCUAACUACGUG